GGCUUCCUCACUGAAAAAUUCAAUGUUGGUAGCAAUGGUGAUAUAUUGAUUGUUCACUAGGAUACCAAUUCUUUUCAAUUGUUUCGUUUAUUUGUUAGGUGAUGGUUUUGUGGUCAAGUUCGUUAAUGGGCACUAAAAUUUCCUCCUCAACAAGUGUCUCGAAGGAUUCUUUAUAAACAUAAAAAAAUCUUUUUUGGCUUUCGUCCUGAGCCACAAUGUCAUCGUCCAGAAAAGAAUAUAACUGGUCCUCCAGGUCAUCGACGUUGGAAAGCAUAUCAUGGAAAUAUUUAUCAGAUUUCAGACCAAAAUAUUUCUUUACCUUCGAUUUGACCCACUCAAGACGAAAAUCCAUCACUCAAAUGAACAAAAUAUAAAUGUAAAUACGAAAAGUUUUAUUUAAAACCGAAAAAUAAGUAUAAAAUUCUUCUGAAUAUAAAUGUAUGUAAUAUUGAAAAUAAAAUAUUUCGUUGUU